AGCGAACGCUGGCGGCAGGCCUAAUACAUGCAAGUCGAACGCACCUUCGGGUGAGUGGCGGACGGGCGAGUAACGCGUGGGAACGUGCCCUUUGGUACGGAACAACUGAGGGAAACUUCAGCUAAUACCGUAUGUGCCCUUCGGGGGAAAGAUUUAUCGCCAUUGGAGCGGCCCGCGUUGGAUUAGCUAGUUGGUGGGGUAAAGGCCCACCAAGGCUACGAUCCAUAGCUGGUCUGAGAGGAUGAUCAGCCACACUGGGACCGAGACACGGCCCAGACUCCUACGGGAGGCAGCAGUAGGGAAUCUUGCGCAAUGGGCGAAAGCCUGACGCAGCCAUGCCGCGUGAAUGAUGAAGGUCUUAGGAUUGUAAAAUUCUUUCACCGGGGACGAUAAUGACGGUACCCGGAGAAGAAGCCCCGGCUAACUUCGUGCCAGCCGCCGCCGUAA
rnacentral:rRNA from 1 species